rnacentral:piRNA from 1 species
UACUGAAAAUAAAUUGGGCCGAG